rnacentral:lncRNA from 1 species
UUCUUUCACUAUUAUUUAUAUUUUAGUAAGAUAUAAUUUUAUUAAAUAUAUAAUAAGUAAAAGGAUUUUAAUGUAUUUAUAUAAAUCAUAAACAAUCAUCACCGUAUUUUUAAUUGGAUAAGAUGAAGACAUAUAGUAGUUUAUAUAAUUUCAAAAUUUUAAUAAUAUUUCAAAAGUUACUUUAAUAAUAUUUCAAAAGUUACUUUAGACGUAUAGUAGUUUAUACAAUCAUCACCAUGUCCGUUUGGACGGGGUAUUAAGGCACGGGUUUGAAUUCUUGAAUGAACAUUUUUUAUUUAAAAAAAAUUAGAUCAAAACAACGUCGUUUACUUGUAACGAUUGACUAACUUCGGUUAGAAUCAAUGUAGCUUUAGGCACAUUUUAAGAAAUUUUGGUAAAUUUUUUGAAUUAUAAUUGAGUUGAGAUCGUAUUUGGUACUGACUAUUUGUUCGGCUUUUAUUUAACACGACUGAAAUUGUUGAGGUUGAAAUCAUCGAUUUUCUCAUUUUGUCAUAGUCUAGUCCACGAUGGGAUGGUAUUUCACUAAUCGGUGGCAAGUGAAUGGUUGAGUGUGAAAACUUAGGAAUAUAACUAGAUUCAUGAGAAUGUGAUUAUGUGCUGAUUGAACCCGUUCGGAAAACUUUUUUUUUAUAGUAAUAUAUCUAUCACUUGUGUUGUAAAUCAUUACAAAAUAGAACGUCAUCUAUCUUGAAGAAUAAUAUAUUUUGUCAGCAUAGAUAUAUAUUAAACAUAUGAAAAUAUAGGGAUAUAAAAUCGACAUUGGCCUGACCAAGUUCGGUACAAUGUUGCUAACAAACAUAUGCAGCAGGAGUUGUUUCUCUCCAUAUUCAAAUACCUAACAAUGUACGUUCAUGAUGAUACAUCUCACACGUCAUUUCAAAGAUAUCUAACUUUCUUCGAAUGAUAACACCUAAUUCAUCAGGUCAAUACUGUAGUUUAUCGCAGUAACAACAGCUCAAAACCCUAUUAAUUGGAGAUUGUAAUAGUGUCGUUCAUUUUUUCUUUUGUUUUAGCAUUCCUUAAUUUUAUUUCUUUAUUUAACUAUUUUGUACUUUUUGUGAGUAUUCAGUUAGAUUAGAUUUAGUUCCCACCUAAUUCUGAUUUUAUGGAAAACUAAUCAUCAGAAAUCACAAGCCAUUCUCAUGAACGAUCAUUAGUUUCAACGGUUCUUUAAUAAAUCAAUUAAAAACUAAUCUUUUUCAUCAUAGCAAGUUAGCAACCAACAAAGAUUAGAUCUGUGGGCCUCUGGCUCUCCUUUUAAUUCAAAGUUAUUUUAUAUAUGAUAGUAAAUUAUAUAAAAAUGGAAAUACCACAUUUAGCAAAAAAAAAUAAAAAUGUAUAGUUUUACAUCAAGAAAGUCCCUAUAAAACUCAUUAUUCCAUCAACAUCAACCUCACUUUAUCAAGGAAAACUUCAAAGCACUCGAGCAAAAAAAUGAUUCCACCACCAACUCUUGCCGUCCCAAAAAUACUAAUAAAACAGUAAUGUUACAUUAUGGAGAUAAGCCUUCUUUUUUUUAAGUGAAAAAUGGUAAUCUUACAUAUGUUUAAUGUAGUUUUUCCAUUUUUUAUGCUGUAUGUUUACAUAUUAUUAAUAAUUUUUGAAAAUUAAUAAUAUUAAAAUGUAAAACUAUAUUUUAUGCCACGUGUCAUCUUUCGGGAGAAGUUUUUUUUGCUGAUGUGGACGCUCUAUGGAGCCUCAAAAGGUCCCUUUUAUUAGUAUAGAUUUUAUAUAUUUUCUAGUCAUUUUAUAUAAACUUGAAGAAAUCUAUCUUUUGACACAAAAUAUUAAAAAUAUGUAAAAGAGUAUUUUUCCAUAUUGGAAAUGUAAAAGAGUAUUAUUACUGGAAACAUGCACGGAAAGGCAUAUUCCGAAGGAAGUGGUACCUUAUCAUGGCACAAUCAGUAAAUUAUGAACUUAUAUAAUUUAAUCGAUCUCUAGUUUGAAACAUGUACUUUUGAAAAUAACAUUAAUAUAUGUAAUAGUGAUUUAAAAGUUAACUACCACAAGUUCCAUAUUUUUUUUAAAAGCAAAAGGAGUCCUCUCGACAUAGCCAAAUUUAACUUUUUUUCUUCUCACUCUAGAAGAUUUAUAAAAAAUGAUGUGUUUUAUCUGCACAUACGAAUAUUCUUACAAAUAUUUAUUAGUUUAUUAUUUUAUUAGCUUAAAAACUUGCAUAAUAAAUUAUUAUUUAUGUUCUUAAAAGAUUUAAAACAAACAUCAAUUUAUUUAUAAAUGAGAAUUUUUUCGUCAAACUAUAAAUGCUUAUUAUUGUGUUGAAACUUUAAAAACACUCACGUAUUAGAUAUAAUUUAGAAAAUAGCUUGAUACAAAUGUUUUUGCUUGAUUAAUAUUUAAUUAUAAUUUUUUUAUAAAAUUUUAACUUUUAACUUUAGAAUAGAAAAUAUUAUUUCCAGAUAACAACAUGAUAGAUAUACAAAUUAUCUUGUUUUU